rnacentral:rRNA from 1 species
GACAAACGCUGGCGGCGUGCCUAACACAUGCAAGUCUGACGGGAAAGUCUCCUUCGGGAGACGAGUACAGUGGCGGACGGGUGAGUAACGCGUGGGAAUCUACCCGGUAGUGGGGGAUAACCCUUCGAAAGGGGGGCUAAUACCGCAUAAGUCCUACGGGGUAAAGAUGGCCUCUUUACAAUGCUAUCGCUUCCGGAUGAGCCCGCGUCCUAUUAGCUAGUUGGUGAGGUAAUGGCUUACCAAGGCCACGAUGGGUAGCCGGUCUGAGAGGAUGAACGGCCACACUGGGACUGAGAUACGGCCCAGACUCCUACGGGAGGCAGCAGUGGGGAAUCUUGCGCAAUGGGGGAAACCCUGACGCAGCAACGCCGCGUGGAUGAUGAAGGCCUUCGGGUCGUAAAGUCCUGUUCUGGGGGAAGAACUGUAAGAGGGCUAAUACCCCUCUUACUUGACGGUACCCCAGCAGAAAGCUCCGGCCAAUUAUGUG